UACAGAGGUCUCAAGCGUUGUUCGGAUUCAUUGGGCGUAAAGCGCACGUAGGCGGCUUUUUAAGUCAGGGGUGAAAUCCUGGAGCUCAACUCCAGAACUGCCUUUGAUACUGAGAAGCUUGAGUCCGGGAGAGGUGAGUGGAACUGCGAGUGUAGAGGUGAAAUUCGUAGAUAUUCGGAAGAACACCAGUGGCGAAGGCGGCUCACUGGCCCGGUACUGACGCUGAGAUACGAAAGCGUGGGGAGCAAACAGG
rnacentral:rRNA from 1 species